AAGUUUAGGUUAGACAAACCAGGGGCCUUCAAAGCCCCAAACAUGAGCAUCACCCUCCUAACUACU
rnacentral:tRNA from 1 species